AGGAGCUCGCGUCCCGAUUAAGCUAUUGGUGGGGUAAAAAGCCUACCCAAGGCAGCGAUCGGUAGCUGGUCUGAGAGGACGAGCAGCCACACUGGGACUGAGACACGGCCCAGACUCCUACGGGAGGCAGCAGUGGGGAAUUUUCCGCAAUGGGCGCAAGCCUGACGGAGCAACGCCGCGUGUGGGAAGAAGGCUCUUGGGCUGUCAACCACUUUUCUCAGGGAGGAAGAUCUGACGGUACCUGAGGAAUCAGCCUCGGCUAACUCCGUGCCAGCAGCCGCGGUAAUACGGAGGAGGCAAGCGUUAUCCGGAAUUAUUGGGCGUAAAGCGUCCGCAGGGGGCACAUCAAGUCUGCUGUUAAAGGCUGGAGCUUAACUCCGGUAGAGCAGUGGAAACUGGUGUGCUAGAGGGCGACAGGGGUAGAGGGAAUUCCCAGUGUAGCGGUGAAAUGCGUAGAGAUUGGGAAGAACACCGGUGGCGAAAGCGCUCUACUGGGUCGCACCUGACCCUCAGGGACGAAAGCUAAGGUAGCGAAAGGGAUUAGAUACCCCUGUAGUCUUAGCCGUAAACGA
rnacentral:rRNA from 1 species